rnacentral:lncRNA from 1 species
AUUAUUCCAACAAUUGGCCGGUAUGGCUGGCUGCAACGCCAGUGCCACGCCCAUGGAGCCCAAGCUGAAGCUGCUCAAGGAAGGGGACACGCCAAGUGUCGACACAACGGAGUACCGCAGCGUCAUCGGCAGCCUUAGGUACUUGUGCAACUCUAGGCCGCGUCUUAUGUGGCAAUGGUGAGUGUACAAGGUUAUGGAUAUGGUACAGCAUUGUUGGUCGUUUCACGUUGAACCAAAAUUUUGAUUUUCAGUUUUUCUAUUGCUUGUUCAAUCAAUAUUUGUUUGUUGUUGAUAAUGAGUCAUUGCAACCCCCACCUAUGAUAGCUUUGAGUGUGUUUAUACCCCAGAUUCCUAGUUAUGCAAAUUCAGAGUCCAUGGUUCUUUAAAUAGGAUUUUGUUAAUACCUUCAUAUCUGAACCUACAGUAGGCUUCUAUAAUUGAUCAUGUACACCAAUUUUACAACCUGGCAGUUCUGAUUUUAAGGGCAGCAUGUUAUGGCACUGCCAAUCAUAUUGUGCUUGGAUAGUUGUAUGCUUGUUGAAACUAAUCAAUAUUUGAAGAAAACUCGCAACACAUGGUAGAAUCACUGAUAGUCUUGUUUGGUGAGGUCAUGUUUGGGCAACGUCUAAUCCUGUUAGUCUUUUGGCAACGUCUAAUCCUGUUAGUUUCAUCAAAAACGUCUAAUCCUGUUUCGGCUAAUAUGUAAACGGCAAAAACCAAACAGAGCUCGGGCGUGCGGCACCAAACCAAACAGGGCCUCAUUGUUUUCUCCUCCUUUGACAGGGCCAAAUACCGUGUGAAAAAUGCGGAUCCAAUUACCAAGUCCAAGGCUGUCGCUGCAUAUGGAGUGGUGGUUAUGGGGGCACCGACGAUCUUUCUGGUGCAUGUGACAAUGAACUGCAGCAUUUGACUUUGUGUUUAAUUAGCCAGGAAACUUCUUAAUUUGAAGCUGUAUAAUGUUAAGUCAUCUUUGCAUUUGGUAUUGAUCGCCUCGGCGGUUGUAGCACCUAGAAAUGUACCUUUAUGAUACUGUAUGUAUAAUGGAAGUAUCUGCCUUGUGCUGAUAUAACUUUCUGAAGGUACUAUGCUGUGGUCUUAACUCGAAACUGAAACCACAUUGUGCUGG